ensembl:miRNA gga-mir-1639 gga-mir-1639
CUGCUGCCAUAGCACUGAGCACAGGGGAAUUUUAAUUGGCCGCCUUGUGCAAGGUACGUUGGGUUAUUUCGG